CCUACGGGUGGCAGCAGUGGGGAAUCUUCCGCAAUGGGCGAAAGCCUGACGGAGCAACGCCGCGUGAUCGAAUGAAGGCCUUUGGGUUGUAAAGAUCUUUUGACAGGGACGAAUAAGCGAUGCGAAUCGAUGUGUGUAUGACGGCUCCUGUUUAGGAAGCUCCGGCUAACUACGUGCCAGCAGCCGCGUUAAGACGAAGGGAGCAAGCGUUGUCCGGAAUUACUGGGCGUAAAGGGUGCGUAGGCGGACAGUAAAGUCAGCGGGAAAAAUGCGGGGCUCAACGCCGUACUGCCGUUGAAACUGGCAGUCUUGAGUGGGCGAGAAGUAUGCGGAAUGCGUGGUGUAGCGGUGAAAUGCAUAGAUAUCACGCAGAACUCCGAUUGCGAAGGCAGCAUACCGGCGCCCGACUGACGCUGAGGCACGAAAGCGUGGGUAUCGAACAGGAUUAGAUACCCGAGUAGUC
rnacentral:rRNA from 1 species